GACGAACGCUGGCGGCGUGCCUAAUACAUGCAAGUAGAACGCCGAAGAGAGGAGCUUGCUCUUCUUGGGAUGAGUUGCGAACGGGUGAGUAACGCGUAGGUAACCUGCCUUGUAGCGGGGGAUAACUAUUGGAAACGAUAGCUAAUACCGCAUAACAAUGGAUGACACAUGUCAUUUAUUUGAAAGGGGCAAUUGCUCCACUACAAGAUGGACCUGCGUUGUAUUAGCUAGUAGGUGAGGUAACGGCUCACCUAGGCGACGAUACAUAGCCGACCUGAGAGGGUGAUCGGCCACACUGGGACUGAGACACGGCCCAGACUCCUACGGGAGGCAGCAGUAGGGAAUCUUCGGCAAUGGGGGCAACCCUGACCGAGCAACGCCGCGUGAGUGAAGAAGGUUUUCGGAUCGUAAAGCUCUGUUGUAAGUCAAGAACGAGUGUGAGAGUGGAAAGUUCACACUGU
rnacentral:rRNA from 1 species